GCCUGAGUGGUGGAAUAGGUAGACACACAGGACUUAAAAUCCUGCGGAGGUCAAAACUCCGUGCCGGUUCGAUUCCGGCCUUAGGCACCA
rnacentral:tRNA from 1 species